AUUGAACGCUGGCGGCAGGCCUAACACAUGCAAGUCGAACGAGUGGCGGACGGGUGAGUAAUGUCUGGGAAACUGCCUGAUGGAGGGGGAUCACUACUGGAAACGGUAGCUAAUACCGCAUACCAUCGGAUGUGCCCAGAUGGGAUUAGCUUGUAGGUGAGGUAACGGCUCACCUAGGCGACGAUCCCUAGCUGGUCUGAGAGGAUGACCAGCGACACUGGAACUGAUACACGGUGCAGACUCCGCCGGUAGGCAGCAGUGGGGAAUAGUGCACAAUGGGCGCAAGCCUGAUGCAGCCAUGCCGCGUGUAUGAAGAAGGCCUUCGGGUUGUAAAGUACUUGCAGCGGGGAGGCGUUACCCGCAGAAGAAGCACCGGCUAACUCCGUGCCAGCAGCCGCGGUAAUUC
rnacentral:rRNA from 1 species